rnacentral:rRNA from 1 species
UACGUAGGGGGCAAGCGUUGUCCGGAAUUAUUGGGCGUAAAGCGCGCGCAGGCGGUUUUGUAAGUCUGGUGUUUAAGCUCGGGGCUCAACCCCGAUACGCAUCGGAAACUGCAAGACUUGAGUGCAGAAGAGGAAAGUGGAAUUCCACGUGUAGCGGUGAAAUGCGUAGAGAUGUGGAGGAACACCAGUGGCGAAGGCGACUUUCUGGGCUGUAACUGACGCUGAGGCGCGAAAGCGUGGGGAGCAAACAGG